GGAGAUGUAGUUCAGUGGUAGAACACUUGCCUAGCAAGCAAGAAGUCCUGCUUCCCUA
rnacentral:tRNA from 1 species